GAUGAAGAACGUAGCGAAAUGCGAUAAGUAAUGUGAAUUGCAGAAUUCAGUGAAUCAUCGAAUCUUUGAACGCACAUUGCGCCCGCCAGUAUUCUGGCGGGCAUGCCUGUUCGAGCGUCAUUUCAACCAUCAAGCCCCCGGCUUGUGUUGGGGACCUGCGGCUGCCCGCAGGCCCUGAAAACCAGUGGCGGUCCCGCUGUCACACCGAGCGUAGUAAGCAUUAUCUCGCUCAGGGCGUGCUGCGGGUUCCGGCCGUUAAAUGAAAAGCCUUCGUAGCCCAAGGUUGACCUCGGAUCAGGUAGGAAGACCCGCUGAACUUAAGCAUAUCAAUAAGCGGAGGA
rnacentral:misc_RNA from 1 species